rnacentral:tRNA from 1 species
GGGGGAUUAGCUCAAAUGGUAGAGCGCUCGCUUAGCAUGCGAGAGGUAGCGGGAUCGAUGACCCCAUCCUCCA